AGUGGCGCACGGGUGCGUAACGCGUAUGCAACCUACCUUAUACUAAGGGAUAGCCCGGGGAAACCCGGAUUAAUACCUUAUGGUAUUAUUUGAUGGCAUCAUUGAGUAAUUAAAGAUUUAUUGGUAUAAGAUGGGCAUGCGUAGGAUUAGCUAGUUGGUAAGGUAACGGCUUACCAAGGCGACGAUCCUUAGGGGUUCUGAGAGGAAGGUCCCCCACACUGGUACUGAGAUACGGACCAGACUCCUACGGGAGGCAGCAGUAGGGAAUAUUGGGCAAUGGACGGAAGUCUGACCCAGCCAUGCCGCGUGCAGGAAGAAGGCGUUAUGCGUUGUAAACUGCUUUUAUACGGGAAGAAAAGGCCCAUGCGUGGGACAUUGCCGGUACCGUAUGAAUAAGCACCGGCUAACUCCGUGCCAGCAGCCGCGGUAAUACGGAGGGUGCAAGCGUUGUCCGGAUUUAUUGGGUUUAAAGGGUGCGUAGGCGGCGAUUUAAGUCAGUGGUGAAAGUUUUGGGCUCAACUCAGAAAUUGCCAUUGAUACUG
rnacentral:rRNA from 1 species